CUAUGCGCCUUGCCAGCCCGCUCAGGUGUGCCCAGCCGCCGCGGUAAUACGUAGGGGCAAGCGUUAUCCAGAUUUACUGGGUGUAAAGGGAGCGCAGACGGCGCGGCAAGUCCGGAGUGAAAGCCCGGGGCCCAACCCCGGGACUGCUCUGGAAACUGCGGCGCUCGAGUGCCGGAGGGGCAGGCGGAAUUCCUAGUGUAGCGGUGAAAUGCGUAGAUAUUAGGAGGAACACCAGUGGCGAAGGCGGCCUGCUGGACGGCGACUGACGUUGAGGCUCGAAAGCGUGGGGAGCAAACAGG
rnacentral:rRNA from 1 species